CGGGGUGUAGCGCAGUUUGGUAGCGCGCGUCGUUCGGGACGACGAGGUCGCAGGUUCAAAUCCUGUCACCCCGACCA
rnacentral:tRNA from 1 species